GAUCCUGCACUAUUCUGGGUAGAGAUCUCAGAUGCCGUUCCUGGGAUCUGCUGGAGCCACUUGCCCAGUUUGUGGGUCACUGCCCCGAGUGCUCCGAUUACCAAAGGAACCAUUGUUGCCUUCACCUUCCACACCUUCCUGGUUCCCAUUUGCCAGUGGGAUUCCCAGGUACUUGUACAGUCAGGAAAGAAAUUAUUGGAAAUCAAGGCUUGAUGUACAUCAAGUACUUAAGCACAUUUUUACAAAGGGAUUAAAUACGUAUUUCUUUCAUGAAAUUGCACAGAUUGGUCAGUCUGGAGUGCAGUUAGCUUCUUUAGCCAGUAGGUGGGAAUUAUGUGGUCUGCUCUUAGCUCCAGCUUUGGUGCGGCUAUUUUCAAAUUGUACCCCUCCCACUGAGAGUAUACCUUUGAUGGUUCAGAGGAGAAAGGUUGGUUUAUUUUCCUGGCUUCUAUCUGGUAUACAAAUGUCCUCAUGAAACGUCUUCAAGAAACUUAAAGAAGUCCAGUCACUUUUCUUUCCAAGCUCCUUGGAUUAACAUGACCAGGAUUUAAAUCUUGGUACCAUUAAUUACAUAUACACAUCCAGAAUUUUUUUUUUUUUUUUUGCAUAUACUAUUAUAUAUUGUACAUAUAUUUAUUAGUUUCAGAUUUAGCCAUUCGUAUAUUUUGCCUGUUUAUGUUAUUGUAUUUUGCACAACUCUGUUGCUUGUGAAGCUCGCACACAAGAAUUUCACUUGCAUGUGCUGUACCAAUGUACCUGCACAUGUGAUGUGACAAUAAAAGUGAUUUGAUUUGAUUUGAUUUUGAUUUAAUUGAAGUAGUUUCUGAUACAGUAAAGUUGUAUUAAAUCUUACUUAAUUAAAAAAAAUCUUUUGAUGUAAAAUGUACCUUAUGUGUAAGUGAAUGACAGCUGAAUAAGGUUGAUUAAAUGUAAUUAACACUUCAAUUUUCAUGGGUACACAAAUAAUGAUAAACAACACACACUGACUGGAAAUAUAGCACACAUUUUGCUCAUGCUUUGACUGACAGAGUGCAUCCCUCCUGACAGUGUGUGAAACCUUAAAU
ensembl:lncRNA